rnacentral:rRNA from 1 species
UACAGAGGUGGCAAGCGUUGUUCGGAAUUACUGGGCGUAAAGGGCGCGUAGGCGGCCUUCUAAGUCGGACGUGAAAUCCCUCGGCUUAACCGAGGAACUGCGUCCGAUACUGAAAGGCUUGAAUCCGGGAGAGGGAUGUGGAAUUCCAGGUGUAGCGGUGAAAUGCGUAGAUAUCUGGAGGAACACCGGUGGCGAAGGCGGCUCUCUGGACCGAGACUGACGCUGAGGCGCGAAAGCGUGGGGAGCAAACAGG